rnacentral:rRNA from 1 species
AACGAACGCUGGCGGCAGGCUUAACACAUGCAAGUCGAACGCAUCCUUCGGGGUGAGUGGCAGACGGGUGAGUAACGCGUGGGAACGUGCCCUUCAGUUCGGGAUAACCCAGGGAAACUUGGGCUAAUACCGGAUACGUGCGAGAUCAGAAAGAUUUAUCGCUGAAGGAUCGGCCCGCGUCUGAUUAGCUAGUUGGUGGGGUAAUGGCCCACCAAGGAGACGAUCAGUAGCUGGUCUGAGAGGAUGAUCAGCAACAUUGGGACUGAGACACGGCCCAAACUCCUACGGGAGGCAGCAGUGGGGAAUAUUGGACAAUGGGCGCAAGCCUGAUCCAGCCAUGCCGCGUGAGUGAUGAAGGCCUUAGGGUUGUAAAGCUCUUUCGUCCGGGACGAUAAUGACGGUACCGGAAGAAGAAGCCCCGGCUAACUUCGUGCCAGCAGCCGCAGUAA